AUUGAACGCUGGCGGCAGGCCUAACACAUGCAAGUCGAACGAGUGGCGGACGGGUGAGUAAUGUCUGGGAAACUGCCUGAUGGAGGGGGAUAACUACUGGAAACGGUAGCUAAUACCGCAUACCAUCGGAUGUGCCCAGAUGGGAUUAGCUUGUUGGUGGGGUAACGGCUCACCAAGGCCACGAUCCCUAGCUGGUCUGAGAGGAUGACCGGCCACACUGGAAAUGUGACACGGUCAAGACUCCUACGGUAGGCAGCAGUGGGGAAUAUUGCACAAUGGGCGCAAUCCUGAUGCAGCCAUGCCGCGUGUAUGACGAAGGCCUUCGGGUUUUAAAGUACUUUCAGCGUGGAGGCGUUACCCUCAGAAGAAGCACCGGCUAACGCCGUGCCAGCAGCCGCGGUAAUUC
rnacentral:rRNA from 1 species